rnacentral:rRNA from 1 species
UACGGGGGGAGCAAGCGUUGUUCGGAUUUACUGGGCGUAAAGGGCGCGUAGGCGGCCAGCGCAAGUCAGUUGUGAAAUCUCCGGGCUUAACUCGGAAAGGUCAACUGAUACUGCGUGGCUAGAGUGCGGGAGGGGCAACUGGAAUUCUCGGUGUAGCGGUGAAAUGCGUAGAUAUCGAGAGGAACACCUGCGGCGAAGGCGGGUUGCUGGGCCGACACUGACGCUGAUGCGCGAAAGCCAGGGGAGCGAACG